rnacentral:rRNA from 1 species
AACGAACGCUGGCGGCAUGCCUAACACAUGCAAGUCGAACGAACCCUUCGGGGUUAGUGGCGCACGGGUGCGUAACGCGUGGGAAUCUGCCCUUUGCUUCGGAAUAACAGUUAGAAAUGACUGCUAAUACCGGAUGAUGUCUUCGGACCAAAGAUUUAUCGGCAAAGGAUGAGCCCGCGUAGGAUUAGGUAGUUGGUGGGGUAAAGGCCUACCAAGCCGAUGAUCCUUAGCUGGUCUGAGAGGAUGAUCAGCCACACUGGGACUGAGACACGGCCCAGACUCCUACGGGAGGCAGCAGUGGGGAAUAUUGGACAAUGGGCGCAAGCCUGAUCCAGCAAUGCCGCGUGAGUGAUGAAGGCCUUCGGGUCGUAAAGCUCUUUUACCAGGGAUGAUAAUGACAGUACCUGGAGAAUAAGCUCCGGCUAACUCCGUGCCAGCAGCCGCGGUAAAAC